CUAUCCCUACCCUCAGUGUUUCGUGGCAGAACAAGGCCUCAAAAUACUUCCACCAAGCGAAGAAGAACUGUAGCUGGAAGGGCCCGGGUGGUGAUUAGAGACAUCCUAUGUAUGCCAUUUAGUACACCUCAGCAAGAGGAUAAUUCUUGGAAAGCACCAAGAGGUCAGGACAAGGAGAAACUGGCUUCUGUCGGGCUGACAGGGAAACUUAAUCUGGACUCUACAUGGAAUUCUCAGGAGGUGCAACAUGAAAUUCGAUCAUUCUUUCAAACAAUGUUCUGCGCAGAUGGAGAAGAGUUUUUUUUUCAUUUUUACAGGUAAGUGUUUAUCUACACAUCUUUCUCUAUUUUAAGUAGUUUCCUGACAUAAGCCUACUCUUAUUUUCUUCAGAACAAUUUAAUUUCAACUCAACGCAGUUAUAAGUUUCUGAACUGUUUUUAGUGUUUGCCAGGUGGAAGGAAACUGAUCAAACCCAACACCUCUGUCAGUUUUUCUUGGAAUUAGUCUUGCAGGACAAGGAGCUCUGUACAUUCUUAGUCACCACAACCUGCCAGAAAGUGAGGAACAUGAAUCACCAAGUAAGGAGACUCUGUCUUUCCUCAGUUCUACCAAUUCAUUGACCCAUCAAAUAAAUCUUGAAAAUGAUGUUCAGCAGCUAGAACAGUUUAUUUAAUAGCAUAGUCACGGAGCAUGAUGAUGUAAACAUUUUUGAAGAUGUUCCC